UAGUCCACGCCGUAAACGAUGGAUACUAGCUGUCCGGCCUUCGGGCUGGGUGGCCAAGCGAAAGUGAUAAGUAUCCCACCUGGGGAGUACGUUCGCAAGAAUGAAACUCAAAGGAAUUGACGGGGGCCCGCACAAGCGGUGGAGCAUGUGGUUUAAUUCGAUGAUACGCGAGGAACCUUACCAGGGCUUAAAUGCAUAUUGACAGGGGUAGAGAUACCUUUUCCUCCGGGCAAUCUGCAAGGUGCUGCAUGGUUGUCGUCAGCUCGUGCCGUGAGGUGUCAGGUUAAGUCCUAUAACGAGCGCAACCCCUGCCGUUAGUUGCCAGCAUGUAAAGAUGGGAACUCUAACGGGACUGCCGGUGCAAACCGCGAGGAAGGUGGGGAUGACGUCAAAUCAUCACGGCCCUUACGUCCUGGGCUACACACGUGCUACAAUGGCCGGUACAGAGGGCAGCCACACCGUGAGGUGGAGCGAAUCCUUAAAGCCGGUCUCAGUUCGGAUCGGGGUCUGGCAACUCGACCCCG
rnacentral:rRNA from 1 species